UACGAAGAGGGCUAGCGUUGCUCGGAAUCACUGGGCGUAAAGCGCACGUAGGCGGAUUGCUAAGUCAGGGGUGAAAUCCUGGAGCUCAACUCCAGAACUGCCUUUGAUACUGGCGACCUUGAGUCCGGGAGAGGUGAGUGGAACUGCGAGUGUAGAGGUGAAAUUCGUAGAUAUUCGCAAGAACACCAGUGGCGAAGGCGGCUCACUGGCCCGGUACUGACGCUGAGGUGCGAAAGCGUGGGGAGCAAACAGG
rnacentral:rRNA from 1 species